rnacentral:rRNA from 1 species
CUUGACCUCAAAUCAGGCGGGACUACCCGCUGAACUUANGCAUAUCA